UAGGGAAUCUUCGGCAAUGGACGGAAGUCUGACCGAGCAACGCCGCGUGAGUGAAGAAGGUUUUCGGAUCGUAAAGCUCUGUUGUAAGAGAAGAACGAGUGUGAGAGUGGAAAGUUCACACUGUGACGGUAUCUUACCAGAAAGGGACGGCUAACUACGUGCCAGCAGCCGCGGUAAUACGUAGGUCCCGAGCGUUGUCCGGAUUUAUUGGGCGUAAAGCGAGCGCAGGCGGUUAGAUAAGUCUGAAGUUAAAGGCUGUGGCUUAACCAUAGUACGCUUUGGAAACUGUUUAACUUGAGUGCAAGAGGGGAGAGUGGAAUUCCAUGUGUAGCGGUGAAAUGCGUAGAUAUAUGGAGGAACACCGGUGGCGAAAGCGGCUCUCUGGCUUGUAACUGACGCUGAGGCUCGAAAGCGUGGGGAGCAAACAGGAUUAGAUACCCUGGUAGUCCACGCCGUAAACGAUGAGUGCUAGGUGUUAGACCCUUUCCGGGGUUUAGUGCCGCAGCUAACGCAUUANCACUCCGCCUGGGGGAGUACGACCGCAAGGUUG
rnacentral:rRNA from 1 species